rnacentral:misc_RNA from 1 species
CGAUGGAUCAUUACGUUUUUGUUGCACACAUUCGUGUGAGCAGCUAAGAACUGCAAACCCAAGCACUAGUUUAUGUUCACACACACCCGAGCAAUGCCCCCCGAACAAACAACCUAGCAUAUACUCAUUAUGAACAGAGCAAUACCCCCGUACUAACACAUAUGAGUUUAAAAAAGCUAGUUGAGCGAUGGAUCUCACGGCUCCUUGCAUCUUUGAAGGUCGCAGCGAAUUGCGAAAUGAAGGUCGUGUGAAUUGCAAGACACACUGGCCCCUUUUCGGGCUGCGGAACACCUUACUUAUUGAACGAAGUCGUCACUCGUAGUUUGCCGCACAGUUCCUCGGAACCGUAUUGGCUACUGCAGUGCACUUGGUUGAGAACGUGUUGUAUAAUUACAACUUUCGUAUUGAUACGCGAAUAUCAAUGCCUUGAAUCGAGUCCUACUCUUUUCAAACCGACAGUAUGAAUGCACGGAGACUAUCUCCUGCGAUCAUCACACAUGAUGUGGUGUUGUCUUAUCGACAGACACACACACACGCACACAUUAGAUGCUUUAUGCAAAUAUUGCAUUUGAUAGUGUGUGAGUGAGUGUGUCGUUCGUCGAUUAACACACACAUCAUAUUGAUCAAUACGUCUCAGCCAAGUGAGACAACGCGCUGAAUUUAAGCAUAUUAUUAAGCGCAGUGUAAAAAAAGAAACUAACAAGGAUUCCCUUAGUAGUGGCGAACGAAGAGGGAUAUACAAUAUACGAGUGCUCUCUUUAAACAUUCUUCGGAAUGCGGGAGAGCUUGCUCGUGAUAGCCCGCCCCCAUAAUCCAAGUCUCUUUUUGAGAGCAGUCUGUGCGUCUGUCAUCUUCGGGUGAUGGGCAUCGUGGGUUGCCACUCAUUAAGGACGGAAUUGUAGCGUAUGACACUGAAUAGACACACAAACAUACUUCAUAUAUAACACAUUCGUUGUUGUAUUGUUGUUGUUGUUGUUGUCACUCUUGUUACACCACCAAACAAUUGCACAAUCGAGUUAAAGUCCUGUGUGUCAUGCACACUGGAAUGUAACACGUGUUUAUCACCGCUAUAAAGCGUGACAGCCGCGUUUGAGAUUAUAGUGCGAUCGUAGCAAGAGAAACAUAACACACACACAUAAACAUUGACUUGUUUAUAUGGGUAUAGUCAUUCUUGUCGCUGAGUCGGUCUGAUUGGGACUUCAGACUUAAUAGUUCAGGUGGUAAUGACACAUCAAAGGCUAAAUAUUUGUAGUUAGUUUCUACACAUGCAAUGGAGACCGAUAGCACACAAGUACCGUCAGGGAAAGAUGAAAAGCACCCUUCCAGCACGUGAUCUCUUUAUUGAGUUCACACGCUCCACAGGGAGUGAAAAGAGAGUGAAAUCGCCUAAUAGCGACUCUUGCUACACAACGUGUAGCAUAAACACAGUACUUUUGCAUACAGCGAAGUACAAUCGGACAGAAGUGUCUUGGACAUAUAUUUGCGGACUAUUAAGUGAACAAUUGUACUCAGUCGGUCGACUGUAGCGUUAAUCGCUUGGUGCUACACCAUUCACAUUAACAAUGCUGCUGACCAUCACGAUUGGUACAUAACUUAAUACGUUUAACUGCAAUGAGUCGACAGUGUGAAUAACACUGUCGAACGAAAUAGACACCAACUGUUCGACCCGUCUUGAAACACGGACCAAGGAGUUCAACUCAAGUGCAAGUCGUAGCAUUCUCUUAUUAAGAAAUGCACUCGGCGAAGCGAAAGCAACUUAAAGAGAGGGAUACGCAAAUGCCUUUCCGGGCACGCGUUGCACCUCUGGCCGACUUGGUAUAUGCUUGUUUGGCAACGAAUAAGUAUACACACGAAAUAAGUCGAGCAAUAGAGCAUUUGAUGUUGAGACCCGAAAGAUGGUGAACUAUGCUCGGGCAUGGUGAAGCCAGGAGAAAUCUUGGUGGAAGCUUGCGUUGUGAGGUACUGACGUGCAAAUCGUAACCUCCUGAUCCGAGUAUAGGGGGCGAAAGACUCAUCGAACCAUCUAGUAGCUGGUUCCCUC